AGCAGCCGCGGUAAUUCCAGCUCCAAUAGCGUAUAUUAAAGUUGCUGCAGUUAAAAAGCUCGUAGUUGAAUUUCGGGAUUGACACAUCGGUCGUGCCUUAAGGGGUAUGAACUGGUGUAGUCAAUUUCUCACCUUCUGGAGAACCGCGAUGUCCUUAAUUGGGUGCCGCGGGGAACCAGGACCUUUACUUUGAAAAAUUAGAGUGUUUAAAGCAGGCAUUUUUGCUUGAAUACAUUAGCAUGGAAUAAUAAAAUAGGACGGCAUGGUUCUAUUUUGUUGGUUUCUAGGACCACCGUAAUGAUUAAUAGGGAUAGUUGGGGGCAUUAGUAUUCAAUUGUCAGAGGUGAAAUUCUUGGAUUUAUUGAAGACUAACUACUGCGAAAGCAUUUGCCAAGGAUGUUUUCAUUAAUCUAAGAACGAAAGUUAGGGGAUUCGAAGACGAUCAGAUACCGUCGUAGUCUUAACCAUAAACUAUGCCACUAGGAAUCAGACGAUGUUAAUUUUUAAUGUACUCGUUUGG
rnacentral:rRNA from 1 species